rnacentral:lncRNA from 1 species
CUAGGUCUUGUCGCCUGGUUUGAUGGCAGCCACAGUGGGCCUGGAGGGGGCUGAGCGGAGGGAAGAGGAAAGCAGGGCUGGCGAUGACACACGCCGUUUCACACGGCAGAGUAAGCAAGCUUGCCUCUCUGGUUGUGUGCUGACCUCGAGGAGUCCUGGCUAUUUAUGGAGAAAGAACAGUAACUGAAGCCUGGCGUGGUGAUGCACGGCUGUGAACCUAGCGCUUUGGGAGGCUGAGGAACCCAUGGGAGGAACCCAGUGCCCAGAGGGUCCCAGCUUCCAGCUGUUACCUUCCUACAGCUCAGAGAGGUUGCAGGACUUACUGGAAGACACCCAGCAGUCCCUCCUGGAGGCUCCGUUCCCCAGCGUGCUCUGCCACGAAGGAUCCCAGGAGGGGAGCAGCUGCCUCCCCAAGGGGCGCAUCAGUGCCUGAGGGGCACCCGGCGAGACGGCACAGGUGCUGGGGAGGGACCAGGCCCUGGGGGUGACCAUGAGCAGAGACACCCCUGUGUACCCAGACGCAGACGCCAUGGGCUACCAGUCAUGGGAGGGGAGAUGUUUUUAAACAAUUUAACAUGUUUUUUCUUUAAUGCAUUAAAGUGCUGCU